rnacentral:lncRNA from 1 species
CGCCGGUUCCCGCUCGCGCCUCUCCCUCCACACCUCCCUGCAAGCUGAGGGAGCUGGCUCUGGCCUUGGCCAGCCCAGAAAGGGGCUCCCAGAGGGCAACGGUGGGCUGAAGGGCUCCUCAAGUGCCGCCAAAGUGGGGGUCCAGGAAGAGGAGGCGCCUAGAGCGAGCGAGGUCUGUGAGGACUGCCAGCAGGCUGUCACCUCUCAAUAUUAUCGGUAGCUCAUUUUGAAUGAAGAAAAAGUUAACCAUAACUCCAAAUGUUAUAAAAGUCAGGGUCAUGGAUGGCUGAAGCUUCUCCCGGCAGCUCACGGCACAAGGUGGGAACCAAUCCUGUCCAGGACGCCAUCCCAUUGCAAGGUGCACUCACACCCAUGCACACUUACUCUCACUGGGACCAUUUAGAUAUAUCAGUUAACCUCACCUAACCUGCAAAACAUUGGGAUGUGGGAGGAAAUCAGAGAACCCAGAGAAAACCUGUACAGACAAGAGAGAAUGUGUAAACUCCACACAGACAAUGACCCCAAC